rnacentral:rRNA from 1 species
UACGGGGGGCGCAAGCGUUGUUCGGAUUUACUGGGCGUAAAGGGCGCGUAGGCGGUCAGCACAAGUCAGUUGUGAAAUCUCCGGGCUUAACUCGGAAAGGUCAACUGAUACUGUGCGACUAGAGUGCGGAAGGGGCAACUGGAAUUCUCGGUGUAGCGGUGAAAUGCGUAGAUAUCGAGAGGAACACCGGUGGCGAAGGCGGGUCUCUGGGCAGUAACUGACGCUGAGGAGCGAAAGCGUGGGGAGCGAACAGG